rnacentral:rRNA from 1 species
AUUGAACGCUGGCGGCAGGCCUAACACAUGCAAGUCGAACGGAGCGGCGGUCGGGUGAGUAAUGCAUAGGUCUCUGCCUGGUCGUGGGGGAUAACGUCCGGAAACGGGCGCUAAUACUGCAUACUAUUAGAUGAGCCUAGGUCGGAUUAGCUAGUUGGUGGGGUAAAGGCCGACGAAGGCGACGAUCCGUAACUGGUCGGAGAGGAUGAUCAGUCACACUGGAACUGAGACACGGUCCAGACUCCGACGGGAGGCAGCAGUGGGGAAUAUUGGACAAUGGGCGAAAGCCUGAUCCAGCCAUGCCGCGGGUGUGAAGAAGGUCUUCGGGUUGUAAAGCACGUUAAGUUGGGAGGCGUUACCAACAGAAUAAGCACCGGCUAACUCCGUGCCAGCAGCCGCGGUAAUUC